ACCGAGAGACGCCACCGCCGCGCACCACGCGCAGUCCCAUUUCGCUCGUCCCGCUCCGCACCGUUGAGCUGCCGUCGAUGAACAAUGGGCCGAGACCUGCGCGCGCCCCGCUAGACACCCUGCCCCCGUCCCCUCGUGCGCGCCGCCGCACACAUGAUGAGACUCUUUUUUUUUCGCUGCCGCUGAGCGCCCCGUGCGUGGGGCGGCACGUGAUGCACACAUGGAUACACUACACUGUAGAACUGUCGUUUCUCUGACGGCGCUGCGGCCCCCUGUCCCCUGUCUCCUUCCCCCACCCCCGCGCGCGCCGCGUCAUCGAGGUCUUCGUGUACCCCGUGCGCCCCCACUCGUGGCACACACAUGGGGAAUGGUCAAGACCGAGAGACGCCACCGCCGCGCACCACGCGCAGUCCCAUUUCGCUCGUCCCGCUCCGCACCGUUGAGCUGCCGUCGAUGAACAAUGGGCCGAGACCUGCGCGCGCCCCGCUAGACACCCUGCCCCCGUCCCCUCGUGCGCGCCGCCGCACACAUGAUGAGACUCUUUUUUUUUUCGCUGCCGCUGAGCGCCCCGUGCGUGGGGCGGCACGUGAUGCACACAUGGAUACACUACACUGUAGAACUGUCGUUUCUCUGACGGCGCUGCGGCCCCCUGUCCCCUGUCUCCUUCCCCCACCCCGCGCGCGCCGCGUCAUCGAGGUCUUCGUGUACCCCGUGCGCCCCCACUCGUGGCACACACAUGGGGAAUGGUCAAGACCGAGAGACGCCACCGCCGCGCACCACGCGCAGUCCCAUUUCGCUCGUCCCGCUCCGCACCGUUGAGCUGCCGUCGAUGAACAAUGGGCCGAGACCUGCGCGCGCCCCGCUAGACACCCUGCCCCCGUCCCCUCGUGCGCGCCGCCGCACACAUGAUGAGACUCUUUUUUUUUCGCUGCCGCUGAGCGCCCCGUGCGUGGGGCGGCACGUGAUGCACACAUGGAUACACUACACUGUAGAACUGUCGUUUCUCUGACGGCGCUGCGGCCCCCUGUCCCCUGUCUCCUUCCCCCACCCCCGCGCGCGCCGCGUCAUCGAGGUCUUCGUGUACCCCGUGCGCCCCCACUCGUGGCACACACAUGGGGAAUGGUCAAGACCGAGAGACGCCACCGCCGCGCACCACGCGCAGUCCCAUUUCGCUCGUCCCGCUCCGCACCGUUGAGCUGCCGUCGAUGAACAAUGGGCCGAGACCUGCGCGCGCCCCGCUAGACACCCUGCCCCCGUCCCCUCGUGCGCGCCGCCGCACACAUGAUGAGACUCUUUUUUUUUUCGCUGCCGCUGAGCGCCCCGUGCGUGGGGCGGCACGUGAUGCACACAUGAAUACACUACACUGUAGAACUGUCGUUUCUCUGACGGCGCUGCGGCCCCCUGUCCCCUGUCUCCUUCCCCCACCCCCGCGCGCGCCGCGUCAUCGAGGUCUUCGUGUACCCCGUGCGCCCCCACUCGUGGCACACACAUGGGGAAUGGUCAAGACCGAGAGACGCCACCGCCGCGCACCACGCGCAGUCCCAUUUCGCUCGUCCCGCUCCGCACCGUUGAGCUGCCGUCGAUGAACAAUGGGCCGAGACCUGCGCGCGCCCCGCUAGACACCCUGCCCCCGUCCCCUCGUGCGCGCCGCCGCACACAUGAUGAGACUCUUUUUUUUUUCGCUGCCGCUGAGCGCCCCGUGCGUGGGGCGGCACGUGAUGCACACAUGGAUACACUACACUGUAGAACUGUCGUUUCUCUGACGGCGCUGCGGCCCCCUGUCCCCUGUCUCCUUCCCCCACCCCCGCGCGCGCCGCGUCAUCGAGGUCUUCGUGUACCCCGUGCGCCCCCACUCGUGACUGAAGCAGCUGAGGCGCUGGCGUUCUCUGGCGUGUGUUGGGGAAAUAGGUGUGCGAACUGUUUUGGCUUCUACAUCGUUCCCAAGGCGAGAGAUGAUGAUUCAUCAGCGAUGGUGGUGAGCUCAGAGGCGCGGGUACCUGCUUCGAUACGGCAAUGGUGGACGGGUCGGGAAAAAGGCAGAGGCGUGAGUUUUGAUGUUGCCGCAUGCCGAUGUAGAGACGUUACAUUAACGGUCGUGCUUUGCGCCACGGGUUCUCCGUUACAAGUCUUUUUUUGUUGUCCUCCUGCACGCAUGGCGGAUUCAUUCAAAGGAGGGACAGCGGAUAAGGGGAAGAUAUCGUGCGCAUGUGUGGACGAAAACCCAAAGAUAUGUGUGGGAGGUUUGCUUAUUCUUUACCGACGAAGAGAACCUCUGCGUUUUUGCAUGCCUUUCUCGGCUGCAUAACUCCUGGCAUGUCAGUUGACCUGUAGAUGCAUGCAGAGACACUAGCACGCCCGCGAACUGCGGAAAAGACACGUGAG
rnacentral:misc_RNA from 1 species